GAUGAACGCUGGCGGCGUGCCUAAUACAUGCAAGUCGAGCGAAUGGAUUAAGAGCUUGCUCUUAUGAAGUUAGCGGGGGACGGGUGAGUAACACGUGGGUAACCUGCCCAUAAGACUGGGAUAACUCCGGGAAACCGGGGCUAAUACCGGAUAACAUUUUGAACCGCAUGGUUCGAAAUUGAAAGGCGGCUUCGGCUGUCACUUAUGGAUGGACCCGCGUCGCAUUAGCUAGUUGGUGAGGUAACGGCUCACCAAGGCAACGAUGCGUAGCCGACCUGAGAGGGGGAUCGGCCACACGGGGACUGAGACACGGACCAGACUCCUACGGGAGGCAGCAGUAGGGAAUCUUCCGAAAUGGACGAAAGUCUGACGGAGCAACGCCGCGUGAGUGAUGAAGGCUUUCGGGUCGUAAAACUCUGUUGUUAGGGAAGAACAAGUGCUAGUUGAAUAAGCUGGCACCUUGACGGUACCUACCAGAAGGCCACGGCUAACUACGUGCCAGCCGCCGCCGUAA
rnacentral:rRNA from 1 species